UUUUAUCAGUCGAAAACAUCUUACAAUGCAACAAACUCGGGAAUGUCCCUUUAAAGUAACAUUUUAUUAUAAUUACACAAUUUCCGUUGUUAUAAGAUUUACUCUAUUCAGAUUGGACGACGUCGAAGAAAAACUGAAUGUUAUCCUUCAAUAAACCUCAGAAAAUGACGUUAGACGUUGAUUUGUGUGCAUUUUUUUUUUUUUUUUACUAAAUGUAGUGUGUUCAGGAGAUUAGUACAACCUCGUGUAAAAUUUAUGCACAAAGUUUAUGAAUUUGCUUGAUCAAGGGGAAGGUUCAACCGCCAGAACCCACCCUCUGCACACGCUCCUGUUUGUAAUUACAUAAAAAAUUUUAAUGAAUGUAUCUAUGUACAACAGUAACUGUCACAAACUGCAUAAAAUUGCCUAGCGUAGUGAAGCAAUUUUAACCUAAAUCUUCAAAUGGGACGUCAUUACGUAAAGGCGACCUUUGCAACAAUGUGCAAUUUUUGCAUGCAACAAAUAUCAUACGUCGUUGCAUCAUGUGUGCUAGCCUGCGAUGCAAUUUGUGUUGCAUGCAACUAAAAUUGCUCCGAUCAAACAUGUUUGAUUUUAUUGCAUGUAAUUGCAUCUAAUUGCACGCUGUCGCAAACGUGUGCGCCUUCGAUGCAACAAAACGUUGACGCAAUAAUUUAAACUGCCAAUGGACGGAUAGAUAGUGAUCACAUGACUCAAAAUGGCAGCCUCCAGCAGCAUGUGGUCUACAGAAAGAUGAAUUAGUGGUGAUGUGAUAGACAAUGCCAUGUCGUUUUGACACAUCCCCUGAAUAUAUCAACUGGGCUAAAAGGGAGAUGUGUCUUGCAGAGAGAAUCUGCGCUUGGAAUAGGCCCUACCAGGUAUGUUUAUAUAGGUCACGUCAUCACUGCAAAACUAAAAUUGCUGCUUGUCGCACGUACGUGCGGAAUAGUGCAACGAGAAAAAAGUUGCUUGCAAUCAUGCAAUUUCAAUUGCAUGCGACAAAGUUGCAAAUGUCUGCGGUGGCCUUAAAACAGAUCAUGGGAAGAACGUUAUAAACUGAUUUUGUGAAUGAUGUGAACUAAAUAAGUUGUGCCUUUUGUAAUUUUAAUAAUUGUUUGUCGUUUUGUUGUGAAUUUAUCGACAUAUAAAGUUCACAAAUUUAGUAUAAAAUCGCUUCGCUACGCUAUGUGAAUGUAUACCAUUUGAGACUGUUAGGCCUAUAUAAGAAUUGUUCAUCUUUUUUUCUUUUUUUUUGCGAAUUCAUCGAUUUAUAAGUCACAAAUUGUAUAAAAUCGCAUAGUGUAGCGAAGCGAUUGUAUACUAAAUUUAUGGCUUAUACAUCGAUACAUGUUCUUCCCAUGAUCUGCUUUACGUAAUGACGCAAUUUUCUGAGUAGUUUAGUUUAAAAUCCUUCACUUCGCUAAGCAAUUUUAUGCAGUUUGUGAGUUGUACAUCGAUAAAUUCAUUUAAAAAAAAUUACAAACAGAUUUUAUAUAAUUACAAAGACAGGAGAGUGUACAGAGAGUAGGUUAUGGCAGUCGAACUCUCCCCUUGAUCAAUACUUUUCAGGGGAAGUAUGUCUUAACCCCCAAAAUUUUUAUCUAGCCAGUUUAGCCUCUUCUAAAAUGUAUGCACAAGCGCCUGGACACACCAUAAUUAGUUAAAAUACACAUAAAUCAGCUUCUAGCGUCCUUUCCGUGACCUGUUUUACGUAAUGAUGUCCCAGGUAGCGUAAUGACGUCAUUUUCUGAGGUAUAUCGAAGGAUAAGUCAAUUUUUCUUCGACGUCUUCUAAUCAGAAUUGAGGAAAUCGUAUAAACGCGGAAAUUUUGUAAUGAAAUAUCGAUAAAUUCACAAGAAAAUGACAAAUAAGACAAUUCUUAUUUAACAGUGAAAACGGCGGUAAACGCGAACUCUUUAAACUAAGUGACGUCAUUUUGUGCGUUUGCCAAACCGUGAUGACGUCAUCCGUAGUACAAACAACCUCAUUGGUUUGUAAGCAUCAAAUCUUUCAACAGCAUUGUAGGUUACACCAAUGACAAAUGAGGUAGUGGUUUGUGUCCAUUAUUUUUUCAAGAGUUCAGAUCUGGACAAACUUUGGAGGAAAUCUAACGGCAAUUAAAGGUCGAGUAUGGGCAGCAAUAAUUGUCUUCCUUAGUACUAAUGGGUGGAUGAAUACCUUACAGUCGCAAUGCCAGCAGUGCCCACAAACUUUCCAUCCAUGAAGCCGUUUCCCUAAUGGAAAGCCCAUCAAGUAUCGAUUUGUGUAUUCUCGGAACCGGCGUGACGUCACACGGCCUAGUUACCGAUCAUCAGGGUCUUUGGGGGUGAAGCAAAGCCAUACUUGUUUACAUAGAAUAAAGUUAUUAUAUCAACUUUU
rnacentral:lncRNA from 1 species